AAUGAAAGAUGAAAACAUAUGUGUGUGUGGUUCUCUUCUCACUGAUCACAGUGGGAACUCUGGGACUGACAGUGGAGCAAAUUGAACUCUCCUGGACAAAACAGCAGGGCAAAAGAGUUUUUAUAAACUGUAAAGUGGGUGGACUAGGUGAUAGCAACUAUGUCCACUGGUACCAUCAGAAAGAUGGAGAAGCUCUGAAAAGAAUCCUGUACGUUAAUAAAGCCGGCAGCAGCACCACUCCUGAUCCCAACUAUCCUGAAGCUAAAGACUUCUCCGUGGCUCUAGACAAGGGUGAUUAUGUUCUGAGAGUGAACGCAGUGAAGAAGAGUAAUGAAGGGGUUUAUUACUGUGCCUGCUGGGAUGGCAGCCACAGUGACUCAAACUGCUCACAUCCUCUACAAUAA